AUUGAACGCUGGCGGCAGGCUUAACACAUGCAAGUCGAGCGGAGUUGUGGUGCUUGCACCAUAACUUAGCGGCGGACGGGUGAGUAAUGCUUAGGAAUCUGCCUAUUAGUGGGGGACAACAUCUCGAAAGGGAUGCUAAUACCGCAUACGUCCUACGGGAGAAAGCAGGGGACCUUUGGGCCUUGCGCUAAUAGAUGAGCCUAAGUCGGAUUGGCUAGUUGGUGGGGUAAAGGCCUACCAAGGCGACGAUCUGUAGCGGGUCUGAGAGGAUGGUCCGCCACACUGGGACUGAGACACGGCCCAGACUCCUACGGGAGGCAGCAGUGGGGAAUAUUGGACAAUGGGGGGAACCCUGAUCCAGCCAUGCCGCGUGUGUGAAGAAGGCCUUUUGGUUGUAAAGCACUUUAAGCGAGGAGGAGGCUACUGGUAUUAAUACUACCGGAUAGUGGACGUUACUCGCAGAAUAAGCACCGGCUAACUCUGUGCCAGCAGCCGCGGUAACAC
rnacentral:rRNA from 1 species